CCGCCUGUGAUCAAGGGUGUUUUGGGCUUUUGCAUGGCCGCUACAUCAGAAAGGCAGGCAAGAAUC
rnacentral:snoRNA from 1 species